AGCAGCAGCCACGGUAAUACAGAGGGUGCGAGCGUUAAUCGGAUUUACUGGGCGUAAAGCGUGCGUAGGCGGCUAAUUGAGUCGGAUGUGAAAUCCCCGAGCUUAACUUGGGAAUUGCAUUCGAUACUGGUUAGCUAGAGUGUGGGAGAGGAUGGUAGAAUUCCAGGUGUAGCGGUGAAAUGCGUAGAGAUCUGGAGGAAUACCGAUGGCGAAGGCAGCCAUCUGGCCUAACACUGACGCUGAGGUACGAAAGCAUGGGGAGCAAACAGGAUUAGAUACCCGAGUAGUCCCUGUCUCUUAUAC
rnacentral:rRNA from 1 species